GGUGCCGCUGAGGCGGCGGUGCUGGCGCUGGGAGCGGCUGCGAGAGAGGUCUGGCUGCACAGUGAAUGUGAUGCCCUCGAUUCAUCCCCACACCAUCCCACGGCCCCGUCCAUCUAUGGAAAAACUGUUGUCCACGAAACUGGUCUCUGGUGCCCAAAAGUUUAGGGAACACGGCCCUAUGAUAUACAGCCCAGAUUUCCCACCACCUACUGAAUAAAUGACUCCAGAGAAGUUACCAUGUGCCUGCUCAUGAUCAGGUGGAAUUCUGAAGCCUACACCCUUAGACAUUAGACUCUCUUCUAUCAAAAUCCUAUCAUUUCUAGCUGUGUGGACCUCAGGAAGAUCUCCUUAGUACUUCUUGCAGUUCUAUCCAGUCCUUCUGAAGACACGUGGCUCCCGAAGCUUUCAGGCACUCGUGGAAGGUCCCUGGGGUGGGCUUCCCUGGAGGCCUGGGUGUGCGAGCCUAAGUUGGAAUGUUUGACACAGAGGAAGCCCUUGUGAGAGCCGGGCUUGCUGGUCCAGACUGUCUCCAAAGGCGUGUUCCUGGGACCAAACCAGAGCACAAUGAAGAAAGAAGGGAAAGUAGCCAUCGGCUUGCAUCGCAGUAAGGAGAGAGCAUGACUCCAAGAACUUUCCAGGGCGUUCCCAACUUGACAUUUCCUUCCUUGACCUUUGAGCUAAACUUAGCAUUAUCUUUAGAAAAAGGCAGUUUCCCCAAGAACUCAAACCACAGAUCUCUGAACUCAAGAAGGCAGAUUCAGGGAUAGCUUUGCAUCUGGCUUAUUUAACACGGAGGUACAUAUCCUUGAAAUCGCCCUGCCCAUCUCAGGAGAGUCAGCCAAUGGGUCCUGAGACUGGAACGAGACUUGGCUAUUCUGUGGUCUUUUGCCUAUAUAAAGUAUGACAUCCUGGGUGAUAAUGUAGCCAUUAUUACAUCGCUCUGCAGUUUUUCUCCAUUGAUAUUCCUUGAUCUGCAUCCAAGCAUAAAGAAAAAGAUGUUGCUUUUGCCUUUGACACUGGUGACAGCCUCGGUACCUGGAGUGAUGGGCAGUGGUAGAAGUCAGCAAAGAGGGUCAGGUCCUUAUGGCUUUGGACCUGCCUGCUGCUCCAGCGUCUCCUCCUCAGCAGCUCCCAGCCGCCUCCCAUGCCCCGUGUUUCAGUCGUGCAGAUUGCUUGGGUCCUUUGAGUGACUCUUGCUCUCUGACAGUGUCUUGUCUCCCUCUAAAACACUGACCCCUUGACCUCUCCAUCUGAUUAAUUCCCCCAGCAGGAUACACCUGACCUCUUAACCUUGUCAGAUGCUCUGUGAGCAUCUUUUGAUUUUCUGAAGCCAAGACUUUAUAUGCUAAUGAUCUGUUAACUUCUCUGGCUCUCCUCCUCUCUGUUUGCUAAACAAUCAUCAGGAGGUGCCACAGCAAAGUGCCCGGCUCUCCCAUCAAAAUGCCUGUGUUCAAAUCCCUGUUCCCUGACCCACAUUAUUAGCUGUGUAUAUUAAGUGGUCAACUCAACUCUCUACCCUCUCUUCUCUCAUUUGUAAACUGUGGAUGAUGAUGAUGUCUAUCUUGUAAGUCUGGAGGGAGGGAAAGCACAGGAACAGUUUAGCCUAGCGCGUGGCUCCAUGGUAGACAGUCAAUAAGCUUUAGCCACCAUAUUAAAUAGAUAGCCAAUAUCAUUCUUACCAGCUUCCAACACAGCGUCCACAGUUAAGGCACUACCCGUAUUCCUGCUUGCCACUCUUCCUCGCACCACUGUCUGGCCAUGCUGGCCUUCUGUAUGUUCCUAAAACUGUUAAAACUUUUCCCUGCCUCAGGGCUUUUGCACUAGCUGAUCCCCAUGUCUAGAGCACAUUUCCCUGACUUGUUUCCUGUGUGGUUGACUUCUACUGCUCCUAUUUCUGCUCAAUUGACAGAAAGCCCAAGAGGGCUUUGGUCUUAUCCUACGUGAAGUAGACAACCUGAACCCCUGUGCUAUCUGCUCUCACAGCACUGGAUCCUAUAGUUACUUUAUCUGCUUCUAGAUUUCCUGUGUCUUGCCCUAGCUUAUAAAUUCUCUGAGGGAAGAGUCUCACCUUCCUCUUCUCUUGGUAUCUCUAGCAUCUAUCUGUGUCUAGCACACUAUAUGGGUAUUUGCUGGAUGAAUAAAUAAAUUAGUGAAGGAAUGCACAACUCUCAGAAAAUUCAGCAAAUGCUAUAGUUGGCAAACACCAAAAGACAUAGCAGAAAAUCCAAGCUCUUCUUUAGCAGCAGCUGCUAACACAGAAGUGUGUCUCUAUUUUCCCUUAUCAAGACCGACAAGAUGACACAAAGUCCUUUGAGCUCCUUGGAGGGAAAUAGCAAUGCAUAAACACAAAAGAUAAUCUUGUUUCUUUUUAUGAAUUCAAAAUAAUUUUUGAAAAGGAACAGGCCCUCUCAAAGCAUUAUGCCCACGCAAUCUUUGCUUUAAGUAGCAAAAAACCCCAAAUAGUUUUAUGAUCUCUAAUGUAAUACAGAUGUAGAGGGUAAGAAUUUGAUGGUCAAUUAAUUUAGAAAAUAUCCAGGGCCUAGAGAGGUUCAACUUAUUGACUUUGAAAUUUGACUCAUGAUUCCAAUGCCCCCCUGCUCUUUUCCCCAUCUCUAGAUAUAAAAAGAAAGGAAAGCUUGUAAUAUUGCCUAUGGAAUGUUCUAGAGAGGUUGUUAAGCUGUUCUUCAUAAAAACUCUUGGACCAGGUUUUCCUGGCCCUUUCCAACUGGGCCCGUUCCUGAGCAUUGAAGUGAAGUAAUAUUAAACUGGCAGGCUGCUGAGAGCUGAUUAUUGUGGGGAGUUGAAAGGAAAGAGCUGGCAUCUUUGUGCUUCAUUAAUCUUCGAAGGAGAAAGAAAGCUCUGGCCACAGGACCAAAUGCCCACAUGUCAGAGCUUGAUUUCCUGUUCUUCUGGGUUUCAGUAUGAAUGUAAAGCAAAUGUUUCAGGGAGCUCCAGGCAGCUGGGGGCAUGCUCCUCCCCCACGUGACCAGGCCUUGGAUUCAUGAAUUAAUAUCCAGCUCGGAGAACGCUGAUCGCUGUCGAGGCUAGCGGCGAUCUGGUGCUGAGAGCUGUGGGCACAGCGAUCGAUCCAUCAGCCAGCCGAUUACAUGGUUAUUGAACUUCCUCCAUAUUGUUGGGCAAAGUGAGGCCCUCCUUUUCUUUGCUUCCAAAAUACUUCACACAUACUGUCACACACUCAGAAACUAUUUUUGUGGAUAACAGCUUUAUUUAGGUAUAAUUCUUAGAUCAUACAAUUCAUCCAUUAAAAUGUACAAUUCAUUUCUUUUUGGUAUAUCCACAGUGCUGCACAACCGCCAACACAAUCAAUUUGAGAACAUUUGCAUCAUCUCCCAAAGAAUAUCUGUUACCUUUGAGCUAUCAUCUCACCAAAACCCAUAUCGUCUCUCUUUAAGCCCUUGGCAAUCACUGAUCUGCUUUCUGUCUCUAAAGGUUUGCCAAGUCUGGAUACUUCAUAUAAAUAGAAUCAUGCAAUAUGUGGUCUUUAGUGACUGGCUGUAAUAGCAUUUUGUUUGUGACUUGUUUAUCUUUGUGCCAGGCCCAAAAAAGAUUCUAAUAAAAA